UGGCAGGGCUUGCAAUUUAUAUUGAAUACCGUAUCUCGAUGCGCAUUCGAUUCAGCGAGCACUGCCGAGAGAAACUUCCCUUCGGGGAGUAUACGUUCAGACAUAGUCGAAGCGACUAACCCACGCUCGAUUAUAUCACUCAACGUCUAACAU
rnacentral:snoRNA from 2 species